rnacentral:rRNA from 1 species
AUUGAACGCUGGCGGCAUGCCUAACACAUGCAAGUCGAACGAGUGGCGGACGGGUGAGUAAUGUCUGGGAAUCUGCCCGAUGGAGGGGGAUAACUACUGGAAACGGUAGCUAAUACCGCAUACCAUCGGAUGUGCCCAUAUGGGAUUAGCUAGUAGGUGGGGUAAAGGCUCACCUAGGCGACGAUCCCUAGCUGGUCUGCGAGGAUGAUCAGCAACACUGGAACUGCGACACGGUCCAGAGUCCUACGGGAGGCAGCAGGGGGGACUAUGGCACAAUGGGCGAAAGCCUGAUGCAGCCAUGCCGCGUGUAUGAAGAAGGAAUUAGGGUUGGAAAGGACUUUCAGCGGGGAGGCGUUACCCGCAGAAGAAGCACCGGCUAACUCCGUGCCAGCAGCCGCGGUAAUAC